rnacentral:piRNA from 1 species
UGGUACCGGGAGACUCGGAAG